AUGCAUCUGCCCAGAUCAAGCAAAGGAGAUCCAGAGGAACAAAGGGCCAAGGGAAAAUUCCAGAGCUGGAGAAGGUCAGGGCUCCUGGGUUGGGGAGGGGAGGACCUAGGGGAUACAGCCUCCGGAAUCUGUGCCCAGCUGUGCCUGACACCAAGCUUACUCAGUAUCUCCUCUCUUGCAGCCAGUGCCACCGCCCCAUCUGUCUUCCCAUUGGCCCCCAGCUGCGGGGUCAGAUCUACCUCAACCGUGUCCCUGGGCUGCCUGGUCAGUGGCUACAUCCCUGAACCAGUGACCGUGUCAUGGAACUCUGGAGCCUUGUCCAGCGGUGUGCAGACCUUCCCAUCAGUCCUGAAGGCAGGCCUCUACUCCCUCAGCAGCUUGGUGACUGUGCCUUCCAGCAGCUGGCCCAGCCAGACCAUCACCUGCAAUGUAGCCCACCCACCCACCAACACCAAGGUGGACAAGACCAUUGUGCCCAGAAGCACAACCCCCCCCAAAGAAUGUCCAAAGUGCCCAGCUCCUCAACUCCUUGGGGGACCAUCUGUAUUCAUCUUCCCCCCGAAGCCCAAGGACACACUCUCAAUCUCCCAGACCCCCAAGGUCACCUGUGUGGUGGUGGAUGUGAGUCAUGAUGACCCUGAGGUCAAGUUCAGCUGGUACAUGGACAACGUGCAGUUAUACACAGCCCAGACACAGCCAAAGGAAGAGCAGUACAACAGCACAUUCCGUGUGGUCAGUGUCCUCCCCAUACAGCACCAGGACUGGCUGUCAGGAAAAGAGUUCAAGUGCAAGGUCAACAACAAAGCCCUUCCAGCCCCCAUUGAGAAAACCAUCUCCAAAGUCAAAGGGCAACCCAGGGAGCCACAAGUGUACACCUUGCCUCCACCCCUGGAAGAAAUGAGCAAGGACAAAGUCAGUUUGACUUGCAUGGUCACUGGCUUCUACCCUGGGGACAUCUUUGUGGAGUGGGAGAAGAAUGGGAAGCCAGAGGAGAACUACAAGAAUACCGAACCCAUCCUGGAUUCUGAUGGGACCUACUUCCUCUACAGCAAGCUCACAGUGAAUAAGGACAAGUGGCAGAGAGGAGAGACGUUCACCUGCUCUGUGAUGCACGAAGCCCUGCACAACCACUUCACACAGAAGAGCCUCUCCCGGUCUCCGGAGAUGGACCUGUACGAGACCUGUGCCGAGGCCCAGGAUGGGGAGCUGGACGGGCUGUGGACGACCAUCACCAUCUUCAUCACCCUCUUCCUGCUCAGCGUGUGCUACAGUGCCACUGUCACACUCUUCAAGGUGAAGUGGAUCUUCUCCUCAGUGGUGGAGCUGAAGCAAACGAUCGCCCCUGACUACAGGAAUAUGAUCGGGCAGGGGGCCUAGGACCACCUCCUUCAAGAGCCCAGGACUUCCCAGAAACCCUGUGGAUCCUGUCCAUCAUGUCAAGCAGCCUCACAGCCAGGCCACACCUGCCUCUGACCUCACCACCCUCUGACUCUACAACUUACUGACACUGAGCCCCUGUCCCUUUCCCUGUGGAGGAACAUGCAGAUAGCAGGCUCUGCCUCCUGAUCUCAACUGGAUAUGCACUGUCCCUCCACAGCAGUUAUCAGGACACAGGCUGGGGUCAGCACGGGUCAUGUAUCCCCUCACUGAGACAUCUCUGCCCUCAGGGCUUCAGGACAUUCAACCUGGAGGAGAUGGAGGCAAGCAUUGUCCAUGUCGUCUGCACAGGAGACAACUUCAUCCACACCAGCCUCCUGACCUCAGGGUUUUUCUGAGAGAAUCCCAAGUAUUGAGAUCUUUGUGUAGAGACAUUUGCCACAAGCACGGGAAGCAGAGGGCCAUCACACCCCAAAGGGGAGCUUUGGGACAGGCUGCUCAUUGUCACACUGAUGGCCUUCACCCUGCCCCAUGCCCAGCCAAGUGCCAUCCUAGCACUUCUGGAAACCCCAGCCUAAGCAAUGGGCCUGUGUUUCUUGGGCUCGUGGGAAAGAGCCUGCAUGUGAUGGGACUCCAUGUACUUCUUUUUCUUGCUGGAUACUGAGAGAUAGUAUUCAACUCAAUGACGCAGGCAACCCCACCCUCUGAGGACCAGGACACUUCCACUGCCCCCAGGUUCCCAGCUCAACUCCACAGAGAGCACUCAGAAGAGGGCCUGGGCCACAUGCACAGCAAGGGAGCCCAAGCAGGUGCAAAGUCAGAGACCACCUGAGGAAGUGGUGGGUGUCCACCCGAUGGACCUCUUGGUGAGGGUACUGAUGAGCAAACAGUCCCAUUACUAUAACCAAGUAUUGGUUACUCGAGAUAGUUGUCAAUUCUUUGGGAUAUUAUACAUAGAAAUCAUGUAGAAAUCAUGAGAGCAAUGGCGCAUUAUUAUUCCUGCCUAAUCUACAUACCUCUUACCUCAUUCUCUUAUCUUAGUGCAUGAGCUAGACCUUCCAGUAUGCUGUGGUGCAGUAGUAGUGUUAAAGGGACAAGGUCACUUUGGCCCUGACCUUAGGGAGAAAGCAUGCUGUGUCCCAUAUUAACUAUGAUGUCAGCUGUAGGCUUUGUAAAUAUCCAUUGUCAAUCUGAGGAUAUUCUCCGCUACUCAAAGCUUGCUGAAUUGUUCAUGAUAAAGAGUGUUGGAUCUUAUCAGAUGUGUUUUCUUCAUCUAUUGAUAUGACCACAUGGUCAUGUGGUCAUAAUUAUGUAUUAGCUUACACAUGUGUGGAGUUGUAUUAAUUGAUUUGGAAGGAUUGGAUUUUCAUCUUUGUUUAUUGUUAUUUAUGUUUGCACUGCUGCGGAUCAAACCCAGGGC